rnacentral:tmRNA from 1 species
GGGGGCGCAUUGGUUUCGACGUGGAUAGUGAAGCCAAAGUUGCAGGUCGAGGCGCCGCUGGCCUCGUAAAAAGCGGCAAAAAAGUAAUUGCCAAGAACGAUUACGAAUACGCCUGCGCUGCGUAAGCAGUAGGGUUAUGCCCCAACAGUGGGCACGUCACAAUGGAUGACGCCUGAUACUCUUUUGUGGCGACACGCAUCAGGCUGGUGCUUUUCCUGUCGUCGGACAGGGGAAGAGCGCGAGAUUCUUCUGUGCGACUGGUUGCAUCACGCUUGUUCAAGAGCAACGGUGUGACAAGAUAAAAAACUUGAACUAAACCUGUAGACGCUUUGUGUGGAAUAUUUGCGGACGGGAGUUCGACUCUCCCCGCCUCCACCA